rnacentral:rRNA from 1 species
UACGAAGGGUGCAAGCGUUACUCGGAAUUACUGGGCGUAAAGCGUGCGUAGGUGGUUUGUUAAGUCUGAUGUGAAAGCCCGGGGCUCAACCCCGGGAGGCGGGUGGAUACUGUCUAGCUCGAGUCCGGAAGAGGAGUGUGGAAUUCCUGGUGUAGCGGUGAAAUGCGCAGAUAUCAGGAGGAACACCAAUGGCGAAGGCAGCACUCUGGGACGUGACUGACGCUGAGACGCGAAAGCGUGGGGAGCAAACAGG